rnacentral:ncRNA from 1 species
GGGAAUUUUCCGCAAUGGGCGAAAGCCUGACGGAGCAAUGCCGCGUGGAGGUGGAAGGCCUACGGGUCGUCAACUUCUUUUCUCGGAGAAGAAACAAUGACGGUAUCUGAGGAAUAAGCAUCGGCUAACUCUGUGCCAGCAGCCGCGGUUAGACAGAGGAUGCAAGCGUUAUCCGGAAUGAUUGGGCGUAAAGCGUCUGUAGGUGGCUUUUCAAGUCCGCCGUCAAAUCCCAGGGCUCAACCCUGGACAGGCGG